UACGAAGGGGGCUAGCGUUGUUCGGAAUUAUUGGGCGUAAAGCGCACGUAGGCGGCUUAGCAAGUCGGAAGUGAAAUCCCUCGGCUCAACCAAGGAAGUGCUUUCGAAACUGCUGAGCUUGAGUAGUUAAGAGGAUCGCGGAAUUCCCGGUGUAGAGGUGAAAUUCGUAGAUAUUCGGAAGAACACCAGUGGCGAAGGCGACUUACUGGACGACUGUUGACGCUGAGGUGCGAAAGCGUGGGGAGCAAACAGG
rnacentral:rRNA from 1 species